GACGAACGCUGGCGGCGUGCUUAACACAUGCAAGUCGAACGGGUCUGCCCUGUUUUUUGCGGGGUGGGUCAGUGGCGAACGGGUGAGUAACACGUGAGUAACCUGCCCCUCACUUCUGGAUAACCGCUUGAAAGGGUGGCUAAUACGGGGUGUUCUGGCUGUGCCGCAUGGUGUGGCUGGGAAAGAUUCACUUUUGUGGUGUUUUGGUGGGGGAUGGGCUCGCGGCCUAUCAGCUUGUUGGGGGGGUGAUGGCCUGCCAAGGCUUUGACGGGUAGCCGGCCUGAGAGGGUGGGCGGUCACACUGGGACUGAGAGACGGCCCAGACUCCUGCGGGAGGCAGCAGUGGGGGGUAUUGCACAAUGGGCGGAAGGCUGAUGCAGCGACGUCGCGUGAGGGAUGGAGGCCUGCGGGUUGUGAACCUCUUUCGCCGGUGAAGAAGGUCCUGCUCUUUGUGGUGGGGUUGACGGUAGCCGGGUUAUGAAGCGCCGGCUAACUACGUG
rnacentral:rRNA from 1 species